rnacentral:lncRNA from 1 species
AAAGUUGAUGUGGUGCUGAUUGAUGGAUUUUUCUUACUGCACACGAUGGGUGACAUACCUCGAACUUUCGGUCAGAUUUCGAGGAAAUUUCUGCAACUGGCUACAAAACACAAAGCUGGACAAGUUUUUGUAGUAUUCGACAAUUACCUAAAACCAAGUAUCAAGGAUCAAGAGCGACAACGACGAAUGCAGCACAUAGAAAGCGAAGCCUACAUUAUUCAUGGACCAGAUCAAAUCAAGCCGACCAAAUUUAUGAAUUGCCUUCGCAAUGACGACUUCAAAACAAACUUCGUUAAAUUCAUUGCAGACCAUUGGCAGGAUCCAUCGUGCGCUGAAUAUUUUAAGGACAAGAGCUUAAUCAUGAACGAGAGGAAUACUUGUUACGAGUUUACAUCUAGCAGCGGCGCCGUUACGCGAAUUCGGAAUGAAAAGUUCGAAUGUGUGCAUGAGGAAGCAGACACUCGUCUAUUCUACGCAAUCUCAAAAUUACCGCAGGGGAAAAAUGUCAUCGUCCGUUGCAAUGACACUGACGUGUUGAUAAUUUUGCUCGGAAACUUCCCAAAAAUUCCGGAAAAAACAAAUAUAUGGCUCGAAGUAGGGGUUUUUAGCAACAAUUCUCUUCGAUUUUUGAAUAUCAACACUUUAUUUUCUUUACUCGGUACAGAACUAUGUCUUGCGCUACCAGGUUUCCAUGCAUUUACCGGGUGUGACACCUCCUCGAGCUUCUUCAAGAAAGGAAAAAUCACCCCUUUCAAAAUAAUGCAAAAGAAUCCGGAAUUCGUCGAUUUUUUCAAGAAUUUACACACACACCGUUCAUCCAGCUCCAUUUCCACAUGCCAGGCCGAAAAGUUUGUAUGCAGCUUGUAUGGGCUGUCAAAGUGUGACGACGUCAACGAGGGGAGACUGCGAAAAUUCGAGAUUACGUACAAGCCCAAAAAACUAAAUGAGCCUCUCAUAAAAAAAUUCUCUAAAUUUGACUCGCUGUCUAUCCCCCCUUGCCGUGCAUCACUGCUUCAGCAUCUCAAGAGGAGCAUCUACCAAACCUGUAUCUGGAUCAACGCGGACAAAGCAGACCCAACAGAAGAUCUUAAACCUGAAGAGUUUGGCUGGAAAAUUGGAUCUUCACACACUUUUGAACCACUUUGGUUCGUCGGAGAUGCCGCGCCAUCAACGGUGAUCAACGCUCUUGUUGACGUUGAGUCGUCAGAUGAAGAAUACAGCGCUUCUGAAUGUUCUUCAGAUGAAGAAGAAGAAGGGGCGGAGGCACAAGAAGUAUAA